rnacentral:lncRNA from 1 species
UUAAAAAAAAAAAACCUCUUGCAUGCGCGGAAGCGCGUGCAGAGAGGCUAGUCCUAUUUUAAUGGAAUACAACUACCUAUUAUCAUCAUACUAAAAAAAAAAAAAAAACUACCCAUAUCUUUUUUAAUUCUAAAAUAAAUUUAAAGGUUUGGUUAUGGUUGGCCCAAUUGACCCAUUGAUGCGUGGGUUACUGGCCCAUACUCAAUUAUGGUUGGAAAGGUUUGGUUAGCAUCCUAAUAGGAACGGGAGAUUUUGCCUAUGACUUGCGUGACAAGAGAGGUGCUUUCCUAAGCACUAUAUAAACAGGGACUUCCUUCCUAGCCUAACCUAAUUUUCUGAUUGAGACACCAAAAUUAUCAUGAUGGAAGUGGACGGAGAAAAUCAUGAUGAGGGUUUGGAAAGAAAUUACCAGAGGAGGCCACAAACACGAAGAAGAAGUAGGGUGGAAGCAAUCGAGUGGACGCUGGAGCACCACAAGCAAUUCGUGGACACCAUGAACCGGUUAUAUUUGGGAGAUCUCACAGUUCGUACACCCAGGAGGGCGAUCCUGAUUGUGGAGCUCAUGAACAACGAGGCCUUGAGGCUUAUUCCCCGCUCAACUCUCUUGCACCACAUCGGCCUCUUUCAGCGUUUUCAGAGUAAUCAGAAAGCCAAUGCUCACAGUGUUUUGACGAGAGACUUUGAACGGCUUAACAUUAAUAAGGAGGAGAAGCAGGACUUGUCGUUUUCAUGGACACCGGUGUAUCACGAGGACUUGGUGGAGGCAGUGAUCCAGUUGGGUGGGCUUGGAAAGGCAACCGCAAAGGGCAUUCUGAAGCUGCUAGAGAACCACCGUGGCCUCACCGUCGAGGCAGUGUCGUACCAUCUCUUCAGGUUAAAGGAUUUACAGAAAAUGACUCAAACAUUUCAAGAAAAAAUCCACUGAUCGACUCAAACAUUUCAAGAAAAAAUCUACUCGUUAUCUUAUGAGAGAUAUAAUCUUUGUGUCUCUCGUACAUCUAAUAAAAUAUAGUUACAUGUGAAUAUAUCUCUCUGAGGAUUUAUUGUGAUUGUGUGGCUAGAUUAGUUAAUGAGAUGUAUUUUUUAUUAAUUGAAUAUGAAUAUUUCAGUUAUCUUGAAACUCUUUGUUGUGGUUUGCUCAUUCAGUGUUUUUUUUUUCUUUGUACAGAUGCUCAUUCAAUUUCUAAAUUUACCCUUCAAGAACUGGUCUCUUGGGCAUUUGAAUGUAUGAGUUUUGGUUACCCAAGAUGAUAAAAAACAAAAUAAAAUAUGAUGAAUUUCUGACCUUCUUUUCCAACACUUAAAAAAAGUUUAUUAACCAAAUUGUGGAUUUUAUAUUCCCUUUUUUCAAAAAUGGACAGAGGUAUUCAUGUUCUCCAUUGUAAACUAUGAAUAAGCAUAGGAUGAAUACAUUAGAAAGAGGACCACUACUUAAAUCAAACCAAGGGGAGGAGCAUGUGAUCAUCAUUAAUUAUUUUUUGCCAAGAUCACACUUGAACAAAAUUGCCAUGCUUCUGUUGAGCACCAGAGAUUUUGUAGCUUAAUUUAAACUAAUUUAAUCAGAUCACAUGCAACAAAUGAUUAUGUAUUUAUUUGUUACUGUAGCUGUAUAAUAAUAUAUUGAAUAUUUAAGCCUGGCCUGGAAGCUGCAAAUGGUUUGCAAAUGAAAGCAGAAUACAGUUGGUCAACACUCAACAGGGAAUCUGCUGACUGUACUAGAGAAAACAAACAAACAAACAGAGAAUCCUGUGGAUGGUGCCUUAAAGAAAAGGAAGAUCUAAGUUCUGGAAGAGGGUUUAAUGAUUUCAAGAAAGACACAUCACACUUAACACAUUUAUGAAACUUAGACUUGAAUCUGACAAUAUGUUUAACUGUAUUUUAAUAUUCUUUAUUAGACAGUCACUGGCUAGACCUUGGAAACAGCAUCUUCACUCACUAUCAUCCCUUCAACACAACCCCAAACUGCCUCUUUUUCCUCUUCCACUCAGAAAACUCUCUCUCUCUCUCUCUCUCUCUCUCUCUCAUAUUGUGUUUUUGUUCCUUCCACUGAAUCCCAGCCUUAUUAUUGUUAGUUCUUCCCCAAGUAGAUUGAAGAACAGGUAUGCUCUGCUUUCAUUUAAUUCUCAAGAUGAAGUCUGUGCAUACACAGCAUUUACAUACCAAAAUCAAGGCAAGGUUACAGGCUAUGUCAUCCUAGUGAUAUUAGUAGAAAUAUUUCUCAUUUCUGUAUACAAAAAUGGGUUGUCUAAAUGGGAUUUCCUUGAUUUGCAUUGUUCUUUGUGUUUCAUCAAUCCCAUCAGUUGUAUUUGUAUAUGCUUCGUUUCUUCCUCAAGAUCAAUUCUUCAUUGAUUGUGGGGGAAGCAAGGCAAUGGAGUUUGGGGAUGGCAGGGUUUUUCAGCCUGAUUCUGGGAACCCAUAUGUUACUUUAUCUUCACAAGGCCACACUGCAGUUUCAGAUCAUGAAACCAGUUUGUCAAACCACUCAAAUCUCUAUGCUUCUGCCCAGGUUUUUAGAGAAACUUCAUCUUAUACCGUUAACACUAAGCAGAUUGGUCGUCAUUGGCUUAGAUUGCAUUUUUACCCUUUUGAGAACCCAAAGUUCAAUUUGAAAUCUGCAGUCUUCUCUGUUGUGGCUAAUGGAAUUACACUGCUUCAUGGGUUUUCUUUUUCGGAAGUUGGCAAAACCUCUCAUCUAGUGAAGGAAUAUGUUUUUGAAGUCGAUGGAACAAGUUCUAAGAAACUGGUUCUUACAUUGUCACCUUGGAAUGGUUCAAUUGCAUUCAUCAAUGGGAUAGAGGUUGUUUCUGUGCCUGCUGGGCAAUUCCCAAGUACCAAAGUAAUGCCUGUUCCAUUGGGGCCUGCAGUUGAUGUUCCUAAACAUGUCACUUUCGAGACGGCUUAUAGGAUAAACAUGGGAGGUCAACAUAUAACCCCCAAGAAUGACUCACUGUGGAGGACAUGGGAUCCAGACCAUGCUUUUCUUGUCAAUGCUGCUGCGGCCCGGAACGUUACAGCCAAUCCCAGCAGAAUCAAAUACUCUGAUGGAGUUUCAGUUGAAAUUGCACCAAAUUGGGUUUAUGCCACAGCUCAAGAGAUGGCGGAUGCACAGGUCAGCAAUCAGAAAUUUAACAUUUCAUGGGCAUUUGAAGUUGAGCAUGGCUUCAGCUAUCUUAUCAGAUUGCAUUUUUGUGACAUUGUAAGUGUAGCUCUCAAUCGUUUGGUUUUCAAUGUGUAUAUCAACCAACAAUCUGCUCUAGACUAUUUUGAUAUCUCAAGCAGGACAAUGGCAUUAUCAGCAGCUUACUUCAUAGACUUUGUGACAAAUAUUUCGAUGGGAUCAAAUCGGAUUUUGGUGCAAGUAGGUCCUCCUAUGUUAAGAGACCUCCCAUCCAAUGCAAUCUUGAAUGGUUUGGAGAUUAUGAAAAUGAGCAAUCAUAGAGACAGCCUUCAUGCGAAUCUUCCAGGGAAUCAUAAAAUGGACACAAGAUCACCUGCAGGCAAGAAAAAGUGGAUGCUGCUUGCAAUUUCUUCUUCAGCAGCAGGGUUUGUAGUUUUGGUGCUCAUGUCAGCUGCCUUCUAUUUGUAUUGGCGUAAAAUCCAUCAAAAGAAGCUGAAGCCUCAAUGCUCAGCCUGGAUGUCAUUACCUAGCCAUUUGGGGAUUUCUGAUUCAAAAGUUUCCAUUUGCAGUUAUGAUUCCACAGCACAUUCUCUUAGUUUAGGCCGCAUUCUGGCUUUCUCGGAGGUUCGUGAAGCAACGAAGAACUUUGACAAGAGCUUGGUUUUGGGAGUGGGGGGAUUUGGAAAGGUUUACAGGGGAGUGCUAGAAAAUGGGACUGUGGUUGCAGUGAAGCGCGGAAAUCCAAGGUCACAACAGGGACUUACUGAAUUCAGGACAGAAAUUGACAUGCUAUCAAAGCUCAGGCACAGGCAUUUGGUUUCUCUGAUAGGCUACUGUGAGGAACUCAAUGAGAUGAUCCUUGUUUAUGAGUAUAUGGCCAAGGGUCCUCUGCGAAAUCACUUGUAUGGUUCGAAUCUUUCUCCGCUUUCUUGGAAACAUAGGCUUGAAAUUUGCAUUGGAGCUGCAAAAGGCUUGCAUUACCUUCACACAGGAGCAGCAGAGAGCAUAAUUCACCGCGAUGUUAAAACAACCAACAUACUUCUUGAUGAAAGCCUCACUGCAAAAGUGGCUGAUUUUGGAUUGUCAAAGCUAGGCCCUACAUUGGAUCAAACACAUGUAAGCACUGCAGUGAAGGGUAGCUUUGGUUACCUUGAUCCGGAUUACUAUCGUCGACAGAAGCUCACAGAGAAGUCAGAUGUGUAUUCUUUUGGAGUAGUUCUGUUAGAGGUCUUAUGUGCUAGGCCACCUAUAAACCCUGCCCUCCCUAGAGAACAGGUUAAUAUAGCAGAAUGGGCUAUGAGUUGGCAAAAGAAGGGAAGACUAGAAAAGAUUAUAGACCCCCAUCUUGGAGGACAUGUCAAUCUUGAAUCUCUUAGAAAAUUUGGUGAAACAGCAGAGAAGUGCCUGGCUGAAUAUGGAGUUGAUAGGCCAACAAUGGGAGAUGUUCUGUGGAAUUUGGAGUAUGUUCUUCAACUACAAGAGGCUUCUAUACAAACUGUUUCAUCUGAGAACAGUGCAAAUUACGUCCCAUACACGCCAGAAUGGCUCCCCCAAAUGAGUGAUCAAGAAUCUGAUGCAACAUCAAGUGCUGUGUUUUCUGAGUUGUUGGAUCCAAGAGGAAGAUAAAAUUAUCAAAGAGGGUGAGCAAUGAUCACAUACAUACUCGUACCAAUAUAGUUUUUUUUCCCCCUUCUCACUUAGUUUCAUGAUUUAUAUUAUAUUAUUGUUUGCAGAUCAAAAUGCAAAGGAAAUAUGAAGAUUUGAAUUGAUGGUCUAUUUCCAUACCCUAUUUGAUUGAUUUCCUAUUUUCAGUUUACCUUUUUUUCUUUUUUUAAUUUUUAUGAGUGUGUUGGGCCUGUGUUAUGAUCCAGCAACUUGAAGGCCAACACUAAGCGAAUAUCUUUGUUUAACCAAAUUAAGUUGAAAUGGCCCAGAAAAAUAAAGUUAUAUCCUUUUAGAAAUGAGAGAGAAGUAGAUGUAGGUUAGGUCAUUUGUUUAAAAUAGCGUCGGUUCCUUAACACUCGUGUUUGAUCCUUCUCUCUAUAUUAGAUUAGUUUAGAAUAUCGAACAAGAAAAACGUGAGAGAAAGAGUUUGCAAUAGGAUAAACUUCAAUCAUACAAAUGAUAUGAUGCAAAAUGAUCCACAUGAUAAAACAAAUCCUCCACUUAGCCUUAACAUCCAAGAAUUGGUUGGUCCAAUUAUAACAAAGAAAUUGAUGCACCUCCUUUGUCGGCAUACAGAAUAUUAGUUUGGAACGUUGUAAUUAAUGAGCGAUUUAUUUUUCCGACUUUUUCCCCAAAAAGAAUUUUCUCAUUUUUAGUGGAACUAAUAAUGUUGAUGGGCCCUCUAAUAAUAUAAUAAUAUGAGACUCAACUCAACAUUGUAAAAAUUAACAACAUAAUUAAGAAUCUAAUUAACAUUAUUUUUCUAUACAAACGACACAUCGCCGAUUGAAACAAUUCGGUCGUUGUGGGACCAUGACGACGCAAGUUUUCCUGCAGGGACCCACCGCCGCGCUACGAAAACGACACUCGUUUUGAAUAGUCAAACGUCGGUUCGUCCCACUCCAAAAACUCGCCGGCCAUUUCGCGCUCGCGCGCAUAACCAUUACACAAUCAUCAAGCGGGGCCCGCCACGUCACUUGGACGGCGAUCCUAAAUCUCCUCGGGCUAGUCUUUUGCCGAUUCAGCCGUAAUGAAAUUUCAUCACCACCACAAACGUGGGAGAGCCGUACCUGGACGAACGACGCGUCGCAUUCAUGAGCUGUAAAGCGACCGACAUGUGGCAUCGAGAAAAGCCCACUCCACUCUCGUCGCUCACUGGCCCUACAUAUUUACUACAUCUUUUUUUACCGCUGACCGGCUAGACCCGUUCCAUAGCCGUUGUUUCGGGUAUUUAUAGGGCAAAUCCUGUACUUGUAAAGUAAGCAGUCGACAGUGGAAGCUAAGAGCUACACAGAGAAACAAAAAGGAUUUGAAAGAGGAAUUUGAAGAAAAUGCCAAUCAAUAAAAUUGCAGUUGGGACGCCAGGAGAGGCAAGCCACCCUGAUGCCAUAAGGGCUGCCUUUGCUGAGUUUUUCUCUACGCUCAUCUUUGUUUUUGCUGGGGAAGGCUCUGGCAUGGCUUUCAGUAAGACCCAUCAAUUUCACAAUUUCAAUAUAUUUGUCUACAAAAUUGUUGUUACUCUUGCCAUGAUACACAUUGUUCAUUCAUUUCUUGACGGCUAGAUUGUUCAAGGUUUUCAAUCGUGAUCACUUUUCACAUCAACAUGGAUUGGUUUAUACUUUCUUUAUAUGUGCGAUACGUGAGAGAUAAAUGUUAGCUUGAUAUAUACCUUUUUCAAAGUAUGUGAUUAUCUAACUUUUUUUUUGCUUUCUAUUCCAAUCGGCUAAUCAAGGGAAGUUAAUUAAUUUUGACAGACAAGCUAACUAACAACGGAUCAACCACACCGUCUGGGCUUGUAGCUGCAUCAUUGGCACAUGCUUUUGCACUUUUUGUUGCGGUCUCUGUGGGUGCAAAUAUUUCCGGGGGUCAUGUAAACCCUGCUGUCACAUUUGGCGCAUUCAUUGGUGGCAACAUAACUCUGUUGAGAGGCAUUUUGUAUUGGAUUGCACAGUUGCUUGGAUCAGUUGUUGCUUGCUUGCUACUCAAGUUUGCCACCGGUGGAUGGGUUAGUAAUUAACUUGUUGGUCAACAUGAACGCGAACACGUGAUGCUAGCACAUCUACAUCAAUGACCAGGGUAGCAUUACGUGCUCACACACAAUUGACUGAUGCUAGCAUAACUUCUGUUGUCCAAGAUCAUUUAUUGAUUUUACGUGUCCCUAACUUGACGUUUUGAUUAUUCAUUUAACCCCUGCAGGAAACGGCAGCAUUCUCUCUGUCGUCUGGUGUGUCAGUCUGGAAUGCUCUAGUGUUUGAGAUUGUGAUGACCUUCGGCUUGGUCUACACAGUGUAUGCCACAGCAGUUGAUCCAAAGAAGGGCAAUGUAGGCAUUGUUGCACCUAUCGCAAUUGGUUUGAUUGUUGGUGCCAACAUUUUGGCUGGUGGUGCGUUUGAUGGUGCAUCCAUGAACCCAGCAGUGUCGUUUGGGCCUGCUGUUGUCAGCUGGUCAUGGACUCACCACUGGGUCUAUUGGGCUGGCCCAUUGAUUGGUGCUGCCGUUGCAGCGCUUGUCUAUGACAACAUCUUCAUUGGUGAUGGGGCCCACGAACCCCUACCCAACAAUGAUUUUUAGAAAGUUGUCCUUGCUUGGUUAAAGACGAAGGAUGCAAAUGUUUGUUCAGCUGAAGGGGCUCAUGGGAACUGAAUGAUCAAGUCAUGUUUCAUGUACUUUUGUUGUAGGUUUUACUUUUACUAGUGUUUUGUUUUGGUGAGGAGAGUACGUAGAACUCAGCUAGUAGGUUUGUCUUUUCAAAUCUUUGGAAAUGCAUUGUUUGUUUUAUGAUCUUCUGCUUCAAAUUGAUCUGGUAUCAUCUACUUUUACACUGAGAAAACAAAAACCAUGGGUUGUGGUGGCCGAUUGAUGAAAAGCAUGUUUAAAAGAUGAAAAUAUGUUAAGAACCACAAAUUUCAAAACAUCGAUCUAUGGGAAUUAUAGUAAAUCUUUAGACCCAGGUGAAGAAGUUUAGUAUCUUUUGCUUCUUCCAAAAACACAAGGGAACACUUGUUUUGCAUCCUUUCCAUGGUUUGCUCAAACUCUUUGGCCUCUCCCCAAGCAAUUAUCACUUGAUGCUGCUGUGAUUAGUGGCUCCACUGUAACUAGAUCCCUUCUUACGCAUCCUUUCUCAUUCUCUUGAUUUGUAAAUCCUUCUAACUUCACUACUUUUCAGAUGAGCCAAUAUUUUAUGGCUUUUGACUUCUCCCUUUCUAACUUUGACCCCCCAAAAAAAAAAAGGUAGAGUAGUGCUUGCCAUGCAGUAGCUUUUAGGAUCAUUUUGCACAUCUUUAACAUAUAGUAUAAAACCACAUAAUUGUAUAAGAUCUUUUAUUUUUUAAAGUUUUGGAACUAAGAGAAGGGUUGAAAUUGCAACAAACUUAAUGGUACUUGUAAAUCCCCAACAAUUAGUCUACUCUAUUAUUCGUGUUCGUGUUUCUUGAAAGGAAACAACCAAUAAGACAUUGGAAAUUUGUGCUUGGAGACUAUUGUUUAGGAAGAAGGAAGGCUAAAAGUCACUCUUGGUCAUUGUAGUUUAGCGCUUCAACCACUUUUAACUUUGUAGUUUCAAUUCCGUCAAUUUUGACCAUGUAGUUUUGUAUUUGUAGCAAUUUGAAGACAAACUAGUAUUCCCGUCAAUUUCUUUGACGGUACAAAGAGCAAUUUCGUCAACCAAAAUCCUUGAGAGCGUAAAAGCUUGUAUGAAACUCUCCCCAUUUCAUAUUAUGGCUUGAAAUUGACCAUUUGAGUUUAGGGUUUUUCAAAAAUUAGGAUUAGUGGUUGAAUUUCUAGCCCAAAUAUGAAAUGGGGAGAGUUUCAAAUGACCUUUUAUGCUCAAGAGUUUUGGGUUGACGAAAUUGCCUCUUGCACAGUUAAAGAAAUUGACAAGAAUACUAAUUUGUCCUUAAAUUGCUACAAAUAUGAAACUACAAUGGCAAAAUUGAUAGAAUUAAAACUACGGAGUCAUUGAAGUGCCAAAUUACAGGGAUCAAAAAUGACUUUUGAUGAGGGCAAAAUUGUGUGAUACUUCAGAGGACAAAAUGAUUUCCACAUUCACCAUUGUCUUCGGCUCAAAAUAAAUCACCAUGCAACAGUACUACGUCGUUCAAUCGACUACGCUUGCCUCCGUUUUCCCUACGAACCAAAACCUCAGGCCAAAACCUUAGGCUUCAGCGGCUUUGGCCCCUUGCCUUCUCAUUCUCUUCGGAGAGUUUCUUCAGUAAAAGCCAUCACUUCGUAAGAGUGCAGAGAUGGUUUUGUCAAACAAAAGGCUGAAGCAAAAGCUAAGAGAAACACUAGCUCAAUCCUUAGUAUAAUCAGUAGCUAAAACAGACAAGCAAACUGCCGGGUCAGAAAACCCGGACUCGAAUUCUUUUUAAUAUAUAUAUUAUUGGUAUAGUUUUGAUCUCUUGGACUACAAGGGUCCAAGAGAUUUAUGGUAACUCACCGUUAGAUGUAAAUUUAACGGUUCACUCACUUUUGCACUCUUUAAAUUUUUUUUUUUUUGAACCAUUGGAUUAAUAUCCAACGGUAGGUGACCACAAUCUCUUGGACUCCUGUAGUCCAAGAGAUCGGGACUGAUUAUUGGUAUUCAAUAACAUCCGAAAAUUAUGUGUAUAAUAUCUGAAUUUUGGGUGUACAAUUGAAAAUUUUGUAAAAAUCGAGUAUAUUAAAUAUGAAAAAUACAUACAUACGUGAAAAUGCUAAGUUUUUUAUACGAGUAAGAGCUCUGAAAAAGUAAAAACUCAAAAAGGGACAAUAGAAGCUCGGAUAAUGACCUAAUAGUAAUGGAUAAGGCUGUAAACUAUCCUUAUCGAUAAACAAAAAUCAGAGAAAAAUAAAUUUUUUUUUAUAAAUUUGACGGGGAAAAUGAAGUCGUAUGUAAAGCGUAUCGCUACUCAGUUAUACUAUUUAUUUUUUUAAAAAUGACCACAGUGCGGCUAUACUCUUUUUUAUGAAAAAAAAAAUAUCCCGAGUAUAGCUGCGCGGAUAUAGUAUUUUUUCAUUUAAAAAAAGGGGAAUAUAGCCGUAUGGCUAUACUUUUUUUAUUUUAAAAAACGCUGGGUAUCGCCGCGCGGCUCUACUAUUUAUUUAAAAAAACAAAAGGGCCCUUCUGGCGUCUAGCGCCCGCUUGGCCACUUGUCAAAACCGUAUAGCCGGGCGGCUAUACUAUUUUUAUUAUAAAAUAAAUCCGCGUAUAGCCAUCCGGCUAUACUAUUUAUAAAAAGGCCGCCUUGCGCCUCGCCCAUUUAGCCACGCGUCAAAAAUAGUAUAGCCGCGCGGCUAUACUAUUUUUAAAUAAAAACAGUGGUAUAGCCGGCCGGCUAUACUCUUUUUAUAAAAAAAAAACCCAGAGUAGAGCCGCGCGGCUAUACGAUUUAUUAGGAAAAAAAAAAGAGGGCUCCCGCAUUUUCAGGCUCAAAAUGUCGAGCCCAGGUCCAAGCACCGAAUCCACCAUUGGCUUCGGCCCAAAAUAAAUCUCUGAGCAUGCACCUGUACGACGUCGUUCAAUCGACUACGCUUGCCUCCGUUUUCUCUACGAACCAAAACCUCAGGCCAAAACCUUAGGCUUUGGCGGCUUUGGUCCCUGCCUUCUGAUUCUCUUCAGAGAGUUCUUCAGUAAAAGCCAUCACUUUGCAGAGAUGGUUUUGUCAAACAGAAGGCUGAAGCAAAAGCUAAGAGAAACACUAGCUCAAUCCUUAGUAGAAUCGGUAGCUAAAACCGACCCGCAAACUGAUGGGUCAGAAAACCCAGACCCGAAUUCGGAGCCCCAGUCGCUGAAAGUGCUCCUGGACUCUGUAACCCAGAAACCCAGAUUGUCCAAGCGAGAGAAACGUAGAAAGCUCCUUGCUUUGCGAGGUUCAGAGGCGGUGAGUGGGAGUGGCACUGGUGGCAAUUUUGAGGAAAACAAGGGCGAGGAAGAUAAAGGGGAAGUGGAGUCAGAGGAUUUGGGGGAUGAGAAGAAGGAGGAGAAGAAAAAGAAGAAGAGGAAGAGAGAUGAGGAGGAAAAAAAUGGAGUUUUGAGUUCAGAGGAAAAUGAGGUUGUGAAGGAGGAGGCUAAAAAGCCAAAGAAAAAGAAUAAGAAGAAGAAGAAGAAGAAGAAUAAGAAGAGAAAGAAGGAGGCAACGAAUGAGGAAGAGAAAAAGGAUGGUGAGCUUGGGAGUGAGGAGCAAAGUGUCAAAGAGACAAAUAAUAACAGUGAUAGGUAAUUUUAGACGAUACCCCUUGUGCUCAAAUUGAAUUUGUGCUCUUUUUUUUUUGUCAACUUUGUUUUGAUUAUGAUAUUGUUUAAUUAGAAUUUUUAGUUUAAUUUUUGUUGUUUUGGUAAGUUCAGUUUCUCUGUUCCUAUAUUUUAGCUCAACACUUGAACCCCUAGUGUUUAGAAAGUGUUUAGUAGAAGAUCAGUUGAUUUUGUAUGGGCGGCAAUUUAGAUUGAUCGGAAGAUAUCUGCUUUCUAUGUGAAAAUGUGUUCUAUAGUUUUUGCCUCAUUCUGUAUGUGUUCUGUCAUUUUGUUUAGGCAAACGAAUGGGGAUGUUCCUACAAAAGUUUAUGUUGGAGGCAUUCCUUAUUACUCUACCGAGGACGAUAUUCGAAGUUACUUUGAAAGCUGUGGCACAAUAACUGAAGUUGAUUGUCUGAGGUUUCCUGACAGUGGGAAGUUUAGAGGAAUUGCUAUUAUUAGCUUGAAGGUAAGAAAUUUUGUAAAUUAUAUUCUGCAUUUAAUUUGGGCAAAAUUAGAAAGCUGUGUAUUUAAGUCCUUGCCAAUGUAACUUAGAAUUGAAAUUCUCUUCACAAACCUUACAAGCAAAGUCUUGUGGUGGUGAUGGUGAGCUGCCAAAUUCUUCUGGCUCCUCCACUUUGGAUAUGACUCGUCAACAUGUUUGUGAAAAAAUCUUAAAAGUCAGUUAGUUGUAUUCUUAGUGAUGACACUAAGUAGCUGAUCUGCCUAAAUUCAGUUAAAUAAGUUUUCUAGAAUGGUAUAAGUUGUAUGGCCUAAUCUGUGGUAGAAAUAAUAGCAUCACACAACCUCUGAAUCAAUUUAUGCUAAUCUUUUGUUUUUCGAUUAUUGGAAAAUAUAAGUUCAUGCUGAAUACAAGAUUGUUUAUCGUUUCUCAUCUCAACAUUCUAAUGUUUCUACAGACAGAAGCUGCCGCUAAACGAGCCUUGGCUCUUGAUGGAGCUGAAAUGUGAGUUUGGUUCUCAUUGGUUAUUCAAUGUGUUGUAGAAUUGGCCAAUUCUCACGUGAUUCUAAUGGAACUUAUUGUCUCAGGGGUGAACUAUUUCUGAAAAUCCAGCCUUACAAGGCAACUCGAGCCAAUAAAGUAUCUGAUUUUGCCCCACAAAUUGUGGAGGGGUACAAUAGAAUCUAUGUUGGAAAUUUGUCAUGGGAUAUUACUGAGGAUGAUCUGAAGAAACUUUUUUCAGAUUGCAAGAUAUCGUCUAUACAUUUUGGUAUGGAUAAGGAAACAGGUGAAUUCCGAGGUUAUGCUCACGUGAAUUUCUCUGAUAGUCUCUCGCUGACGCUGGCAUUGAAGUUAGAUCAGAAGGUUGUAUGUGGAAGACCUGUCAAGAUAAGCUGUGCUGUACCUCUGAAAAGAGCAGGGACCCCUUCAAAUUCUGCACCUACAAAUUCAAGUACCCAUUCAAUAUCAGUAGCCCCAACCACAGGUGCCAAUACAAUACCAGUAGCUACAACUACAGAUACAGGAGCUGAUAAUACUGAGUUGAGUAACGUCAGUGGUAAGAUUAAGAGAAGGACAUGCUACCAGUGUGGUGAAAAGGGACAUCUCUCAUCUGCUUGUCCAAUGGCAGCAACUACGUUUUCAAGUACCCAUUCAAUUGCUGUAACUACAACUACAAGUGCUGAUUCGAUACCAGUAGCUACAACUACAGAUACAGGGGCUGAUGAUAUUGGGUUGAGUGCCGUCAGUGGUAAGAUUAAGAGAAGGACAUGCUACCAGUGUGGUGAAAAGGGACAUCUCUCAUCCGCUUGUCCAAUCACAGCAACUACAUUUUCAAGUACCCAUUCAAUAUCCAUAGCUACAACUAUAAGUACUGAUUCGAUACCAGUAGCUACAACUACAAGUACCAAUUUGAUACCAGUAGCUGCAACUACAAAUACCAAUUCGAUACCAGUAGCUACAACUACAGGAGCUGAUAAUGGUGGGUUGAGUGCCAUCGGUGGUAAGAUUAAGAGAAGGACGUGCUACGAGUGUGGUGAAAAGGGUCAUAUUUCUUCAGCUUGUCCAAAGAAGCAAUCUGCUGAUAACAAUGCAAGCAUGUAGGCAGUGUCCUAAGUUUUCCUGUUAACUAUAUGUAGGAAAAACAUAUUAUCCUUCUCAUCAAACUAUAUUUUUUCGAAUAGGCUGAAAAGCGACAGAUUGCGGCUUAGUUUGAGGCAAAGAUUUGUAGAACUGACAUGUUUCUUUCUUGUUGAUAAAGCAAAUUUUGAUUCUUGCUUAAACUAUGCAUGUCAAAAGGAACGAUUAAGUGUUUUCAUGUACUUUUGUUGUAGGUUUUAGGAGUGUUUUGCUUUGGUUUUAUGUUGUAAGAGGACAGUAGAUCUCAGCUAGUUGGUUUGUCUUUCCAAAUCAUUUGAAAUGCCUUGUUUGUUUUGUAUCUUCUGCGUGAAAUCGAUCUGCUAUCAUUUACUUGAAUAGUGGGAAAAUAAAAAUAUGGGGGUGUGGCAGAUUUUAAAAAAAAAAACAUGUUUAAAAGAUGCAAAUAUGUUAAGAACCACAAAUUUCAAAAUAUGUAUGGGUAUUUGGGCUGGUCUAAGAAGCAAAUUAUAGUUAAUCUUUAGACCAAUGUGAGCAAUGUUCUGUACACAGCUCAUUAAUAUCUUGUUCCAAAAACACAAAGGGAACUCUUGUUUUGCAUCCUUUCCAUUCCAUGGUUGCUCAAACUCUUUGGCCUCUCCCCAAGCAAUUCUCAUUUGAUGCUGUUAUGAUUACUGGCUCCACUCCACUGUAACUAAAUCUCUUAUAUGCUCUGCCAAAGAGGUCUCAUUCUCUUGAUUUGCAAAUCCCUCCAACUUAAUUACUUUCAGAUGAGGCAAUAUUGUAUGGCUUUUGACUUCCUAAUGACAGAGCUGUGCUUGCCAUGCAGUAGCUUUUAGGAUCAUUCUGCACAUCGUUAGCAGAGUAUAACUGUGUAAUGAGACUCGACCAAAAUGCCUUUGAUGAACCUCGAGUCGUGCUUCUCUGUCUCUGGGGAAAGCUCCAACUCCAAGUGGAGUUUAUUGUUGGCUGCAAUGGUGACCAAGAGGAGAUAUUCACCACCUUUGCCAAAUUGCAAUUUCAGCCUCCUGGGAUGCCUUAAGGGAUCAACUUUGUCAAUAAUGACAUAGAAAUCCAACAACCACAUCGGCAGCAGCAUCUAUAGAGAGUACGGCCGAACGGCUAUACUCCAAAAUAGAAUAUUUUAAGGGUACAGCCGCGCGGCUAUACACCAAAAUACUUCAUAAAUAUAAAAUUAAAGCUUAUAUCCGCUCGGCUAUACUCCAAAAUAUAAUAUUUAAAGAAAUAGAAUAUUUUAAAAGUAUAGCCGCCCGGCUAUACGCUGUGAAUAUAAUAUCUUCUCUUAAAAGUAUAGCCGAUACGCUGCUGCCUGUUUCACUAAAGUUGUGUUCUUGAAAGCAAACUGGUUUCUAAUGCGGAUUCUGAAGGGAGAAAAGAAACAAUGCGGCAGAUAAUCUCAUUCGGCAACUUACCAAACAAACAUCUGUGUUUUCCUUCAUCAUAUCUCUAUUUGGCUAAUUGCCACAAAUCCCAUUUGGUAUAAGUUUACAUUAGUUGAACUUGAAAGAACCAUAAUAAUAUUAGAUAUAAUGUUUUUGCAUUGGAUUUCAAGAUCUUUAUGCAUGUGUUGUUAGCAUUUGAUGGAUUGAGAAAUUUAUAACCAUGAACUGAAAUGAAAAUCUCAGACCCAAUUUUGAGUCUAUACAAUAAUGCCAAAAAGUUGAAUAUGGCUAAGCUUCUUUUGAGGUUGAGUUGUUGGCUUUGCACAAACUUGUAAGCUCUCUCGUCUUUGAUUUGAAUUCACUUUUUAUAAUACAUCCUCCCCUGAAAAUCAAGGUCAGGGAAAGAUGGCCUUGUACAAAUAAGAUAAGGGAAGAUUGUGUCAACGCAAUUUCUAAAUAAAAUAAAGACUUAUUUAUUGUGGUGCCUUACGAAAUCAAUAUUAUACGAAGAAACAUAAUUAUAACGAAAAUGAUGCCGUUACCUACCUAUGUCGAAUAUGACCUUAUCUCAACCCUAUUUGUCAAAUAUAGGUAGAGUAGCCUGAACAAUAUCUUGUUAGAAAUGAAUAGAUUGUGGAGGUUGAUAUAAACUUUCGGAAUUUGCUUUGAUGUCUAUAAAAUGAAAAAAUUGUUUUCGAAACGUAACAUGGGUACCUAACAAAAAUUGUACAAGUUUUUUUCCAUUUUGGGACAUGAAUGAAGAAUUGUUUUGUUUUCAGUUCUCUCUUCUGCUUUAUUUCCUUUUCUGCCCCUUUCUUUUGGUCGGAAAUUUCCUUUUGUGUUUCUCGGGUACCUAAUAAUUGGUAUCAGAGCCGUUCCGACCAUGGGACAGCAGGGAUACCCACCGGCGACGCUGCCUCACUAUCUUCCACUCGUCUAUUUUCCCGAUCCUACACUCCCACCGCCAUGGACUGGCAUGUUCGACGGUAACCUUGCGGUGGUGUACUAUUGGAACCCCCAAACCAACGUUGCUCAGUAUGAACAUCCAGCCUCUUCCAGUUACCCAACCACCCAUCUCAUCAAUUCUCCAAUCCCCCAAUUUUGGAACUCACAUUUGCCGCUGGACUACACAACCAACUCGCCUCACCGUCUCACAACAUCGACGCCCACCGAUCUUGCUGCACCCUCUAACGUGGGAACCGGCUCCGUUGCACAUCCGCUUCAUACCUCUCUGGAAAUCCCAGACCCAAAUUCAAAGCCCCAAUCGCUGAAAGUGCUUCUGGACUCUGCAACUCAUAAACCCAGAUUGUCCAAGCGAGAGAAACGUAGAAAGUUCCUUGCUUUGCGAGAUUCAGAGGCGGUGAGUGGGAGUGGCAGUGGUGGUAAUUUUGAGGAAAACAAGGACGAGGAAGAUAAGAGGGAAGUUGGGUCAGAGGAUUUGGGGGAUGAGAAGAAGGAGGAGAAGAAAAAGAAGAGGAAGAGGAAGAGAGAUAAGAAGGAAGAAAAUGGAUCUUUGAGUUCAGAGGAAAAUGAGGUUGUGAAGGAGGAGGCUAAGAAGCCAAAGAAAAAGAAUAAGAAGAAGAAGAGAAAGGAGGCAAAGAAUGAGGAAGAGAAGAAGGAUGGUGAGCUUGGGACUGAGGAGCAAAGUGUCAAAGAGACAGAUAACAGCAGUGAUAGGUAAUUUUAGAUAGUAGCCUUUGUGCUCAAUUUGAAUUUGUAUGUGUGUUUUUUUUUUGUCAACUUUGUUUUGAUUAUGAUAUUGUUUAAUUUGUUGUUUUGGUAAGUUCAGUUUCUUUGUUCCUAUAUUUUACCUCAACACUCGAACCGCUAGUGUUUAGUAGAAGAUUGGUUGAUUUUGUAAGGUAUGGGAGGCAAUAUAGAUUGAAUGGAAGGUUUAUGCUUUCCAUGUGAAUAUAUGUUCUGUAUUUUGUGCCUCAUUCUGUUUGUGUUCUGUCAUUUUGUUUAGACAAGCGAAUGGGGAUGUUCCUACAAAAGUUUUUGUGGGAGGCAUUCCUUAUUACUCGACUGAGGACGAUAUUCAAAGUUACUUUGAAAGCUGUGGCACAAUAACUGAAGUUGAUUGUCUGAGGUUUCGUGAGGGUGGGAAGUUUAGAGGAAUUGCUAUUAUUAGCUUUAAGGUAAGAAAUUUUGUAUGUAUUAUUUUCUGCAUUUAAGUAAGGUACAAUUAGAAAGCUGUGUAUUUACGAGUCAUAUCCAAAGUGGAGGACCAGGAUAAUUUAGCAGCUCACCACUACUAGACUGUGGUAGAACUAAUAGCAUCACACAACCUAUGAAUCAAUUUAUGCUAAUCUUUUGUUUUACGAUUAUUAGAAAAUAUAAGUUCAUGCUGAAUACAAGAUUGUUUAUCAUUUCUCAUCUCAAUAUUCUAAUGUUUCUACAGACAGAAGCUGCCGCUAAACAAGCCUUGGAUCUUGAUGGAGCUGAAAUGUGAGUUUGGUUCUUUUUGAUUACUCAAUUUGUUGUAGAAUUGGCCAAUUCUCUCGUGAUUCUAAUGGAACUUCUUUUUGUCUCAGGGGUGAACUAUUUCUGAAAAUCCAGCCUUACAAGGCAACUCGAGCCAAUAAAGUAUCUGAUUUUGCCCCACGAAUUGUGGAGGGGUACAAUAGAAUCUAUGUUGGAAAUUUGUCAUGGGAUAUUACUGAGGAUGAUCUGAAGAAACUUUUCUCAGAUUGCAAAAUAUCAUCUAUGCAUUUUGGUAUGGAUAAGGAAACAGGGGAAUUCCGAGGUUAUGCUCCCGUGAAUUUCUCUGAUAAUCUCUCGCUGAAGCUGGCAUUGAAGUUAGAUCAGAAGGUUGUAUGUGGAAGACCUGUCAAGAUAAGCUGUGCUGUACCUCUGAAAAGAGCAGGGACCCCUUCAAAUUAUGCACCUACAAAUUCAAGUACCCAUUCAAUAUCAGUAGCCCCAACCACAGGUGCCAAUUCGAUACCAGUAGCUACAACUACAGAUACAGGAGCUGAUAAUACUGAGUCGAGUACUGUCAGUGGUAAGAUAAAGAGGAGGACAUGCUACCGGUGUGGUGAAAAGGGACAUCUCUUGUCCGCUUGUCCAAUUUCAGCAACUAUGUUUUCAAGUACCCAUUCAAUAUCCAUAGCUACAACAAGAAGUACUCAUUCGAUACCAGUAGCUACAACUACAAGUACCAAUUCGAUACCAGUAGCUACAACUACAAGGACCAAUUCAAUACCAGUAGCUGCAACUACAAGGACCAAUUCGAUACCAGUAACUACAACAACAAGGACCAAUUCGAUACCAGUAACUACAACAAGUACAGGAGCUGAUAAUGGUGGGUUGAGUGCCGUCAGUGGUAAGAUUAAGAGGAGGACAUGCUACCGGUGUGGUGAAAAGGGACAUCUCUUGUCCGCUUGUCCAAUUUCAGCAACUAUGUUUUCAAGUACCCGUUCAAUAUCCAUAGCUACAACUACAAGUACUGAUUCAAUACCACUAGCUACAACUACAAGUACCAAUUCGAUACCAGUAGCUACAACUAUGAGGACCAAUUCGAUACCAGUAGCUACAACUACAGGUACAGAAGCUGAUAAUGGUGGGUUGAGUGCCAUCAGUGGUAAGAUUAAGAGAAGGAUGUGCUACCGGUGUGGUGAAAAGGGACAUCUCUUAUCCGCUUGUCCAAUUUCAGCAAUGUUUUCAAGUAUCCAUAGCUACAACUACAAGUACUGAUUGAUACCAGUAGCUUUAACGACAAGUACCAAUUCGAUACCAGUAGCUACAACUACAUGUACAGGAGCUGAUAAUGGUGGGUUGAGUGCCAUCAGUGGUAAGAUUAAGAGAAGGAUGUGAUACGCGUCUGGUGAAAAGGGUCAUAUAUCUUCAGUUUUUCCAAAGAAGCAAUCUGCUGAUAACAAUGCAAGCAUGUACAGUGUCCUACGCUUUCCUGUUAACUAUAUGUUGGAAAAACAUAUUAUCCUUCUCAUCAAACUAUUAUUUGUUCGAAUAGGCUGAAAAGCCACAGAUUGCCGCCUAGUUUGAGGCAAAGAUUUAUAGAACUGAGAUGUUUCUUUCUUAUUGAUAAAGAAAAUUUUGAUUCUUGUCUAAACUCUCCAUGUCAAAUGGAACGAUGAAGUGUUGCCAACGUGGGUCUAGUCUAGUAGAAAAGGGUAUUGACUUGUUAGGGUUAUCAGGUUCGAACUUUCGUGACACCUUGAUAGGGUUAGUGUGUAUAUGAGAAACCUCCUCCUCUUAUAGUUUAGACUAAUGAUUGUAUUUAUAAGUUUAUUUUUUAUUUUCUAAAAAGAAACGAUGAAUUGUUUUCUCUAUCGCUUUUGUAAGUUGUGAAAACUGAAUUGGUAUUCUUCUCACUGUUAGAGGAAAGUAUAUAUAGAGCCAAGCUAAGCUAAGCUGUCUUAACACUUCCGAUAUGUUCUUGAAAAGACCAAUGAUUUUUUCAGAGUUAGCAGACUAUGGUUUUCUUUGAAGAUGGGCCUAACUGAACCUGAGCCAACCCAACCAAGUACAUUAGAACAUUUAUAGGCCGAAGUACUUUCAGAUAUACAAAGUCUUGUGGGGCCAUGCCCAUGUAUACUGUACACACAUUUUAACGUAGGACAAAAAUGGCUUCUUAUUUUCUCUAAAUAAGAUCAGAAUUUUUUAUUUUUUAUUUAUAAAUAAGAUCAGAAAAAGUUUAAGAACACUGGUGUGAUGGUUCCAAAACUUAUGAUAUGUCUAAUGAGCUCCCAAACCAUCAUGGAUCCUUAACCAGCAUGAGCUGAGACGAAAGUUCACUCUAUAUUUUCUUUCAAUCUGUAAUUCUUAUUACUUGGGAAAAAAAGAGAAAAAAGAUUGAACCCUCAAUUUUCUCACCCUACCUAGAAUGUAUGUCUAAAUUUUACAUAAAAUGAUUUCAUUUACCCUCUAUUUGAAAGGAGAAAAAUAACUCGGAAUUUAGCCAAACUUAAAAAAUUGAAGAGGAUUUAACUAAAAGUCGGGAGUUUUCUUGAAAAUGAUAUAAUUUGGUUAUAUAUAAAUUUAAUGAAGUAUAUAUUACGGUCUUCAGUUUUUUUUAUUGGAAAAAAAAAAUCAAAUUAGAAGCUGUUAAGAUGAGGUGGAGAAAAGCUUGGAACUAGGUUCAAAAGUAAAAUUGCAAGGAAAAACAAAAAAGACAGAUUUGGGAGCUGGGUCAACCAUCAUCCCUUCAUAAAUUAUUGACAACAAACAUUUCAUUUCCUUCUUUCAAGCACGCCAAUAUUUUUUGGCUGCCAUUGGAUGAAUUUUUCCACUUCAAUUUUAACUUUGAUUCACCAAAUACAUUGCUGGUAAAAUACUUCAAUGUUUGUUUGUUUACAAUAAUAUGUGAGUAUCAUGCAAACUCAUAAUUUUUUCAUUUACGGCACAAAAUAAGUAAAUAAAUAACAAUUGGUAGUGAGUGGAGCUUUGUAGAAGAAACUUUUUUUUAAUCAACGAGGGAUGGGAAUGGCUUAUGAGGUCUAGUUUAGUGUAAAUCCUUAGAUUUAUAGAUUAAUGAUUUUAAGUUUAAACUCUGGUGAAAUAUUGGCAUUGUGUGUAAGAAAAUUCCUUUUCCUUUCCGAUGUUGACAAAAAAAAACCGAGAGAUGGUAGUUUCGAACAUAAACCUCUUGUAAACUUGAGAAGAAAACUAUCAUUAAACUAAAAAAGAAUUAAUAUUUUUUCGGUUGUUGAAAAAGAGAUAUAUAAUAAAUAGACAAACAGAGCGAAAGAAAGAGGUAGGAAGUCCCUCAUGUCCAGAACUUAACAUUCAUUGUCUUGCCCUGAACAAAAAUACCAACCCGCGUCACUUGCAAUCACAACUUGUUUGGCUCCCUCCACACCUCUCAACCUUCUCCUUCACGUAUUUUUCUUCAACUUUUUAACACUGGCAUUGCAUGCUUUGAAAUCCGACAAAAUUUAGCACCUGUAUUUAUAUGUCGCGCAUCACAUAUAUGUAUAUAUAUACAAAGUUACAAACCUUCAUCUUCUAACCCCACCCUUUAAGCCAAACCAUCUUCUUCCACAUAUAUAACAUAUAUGCAUCAUGUUCCUUUUGCUCAACAUCUCUGUUUCUUCCGUUGUCUUCAAAUUGGAGGUUUUUGAUUAAUGGGUUUUCUCCGUCUCCCUCUGAAUUGUAUGAGAUUCUUUAAUUUUCUUGGUUGACACUUGAGCCUUGACUUGCCCGAGUUUGUUUUCUUCAAAGUCUUGAAAUGGGACCCGUUAGAGGGAUGAAGAGGAGGAAGAAGGCAGAGAAGAAGGUUGACCAGAAUGUGUUAGCUGCAGCUGCUUCACUGAGUUCUCAACCCCAGCCCGUCGAUUGGUGGGACGACUUCUCUCAGAGAAUAACUGGUACAAAUAUUCUUCAAGUGCUUUGCGUUUCGCAUUAUCUUUUACUUGGGUUGUUGGUUAAUUUGUUUUAUUGGGUUGACUGUAAAUAUAUGCAUUGGUUUGGCUCUCAGUGGGUAUAUCUGGUUUGUUGUGUAUGAGUAUUUGAUGAUAUAUUAGGACUUGGGUCCAAUGCAGUUUUGAAGAAUUGGAUUGAUUUUAUAAUGCAUGUAUGUUUGUUGUGAUUGUGCAUAAAGGAUUAACUUCAGCAAGUGGAUUUCUGGUAUAUAUUAUUACAAUCUAACAGUUCUUAGCUUCUGUUGAUUUGAUUUAUCGCGCUCUGGUUUCUCCUACCUCAUCGAUAUUGCUCAGACAGAGCACAGCAUGCCUAGUGUGGUGAUAAUUGAAGCCACCAUUUUAGGUUUUCCUUGUAUCAGUGAAAUCUAAUGACAUAGGUUAAUACUCAAUUCUGGUGUUAACUAUAAGAUUGAGUUUUUAUAUUUAUUAUUUCCUUGAAAUAAAAUGAUGCAAAUUAAGAACUUUGUUAGCAGUUUCCUGAUUUAUAAUUCUGAAAACGAUCAAGACUUUCUUUGCUGGUUAUGUUAUUGUUGUUUUGUUGAUUUUUAAUGUCUCUAUUAGCAGGCAAUCCUGUUAGUGUUUAUAAGGGAAAUUUGGUCUAAGUAUGUGCUGAAAUUCCAAAACAGACUACAUCUAGUUCUCAAUUAUUAGAUUGUUAGAUUGUAGUAAUGUAUGAUGAUGUAUGUUUUUCUUGAGAUAAGAUUGCGGUAAACAUUUAUAGUAUAUGCAUUUUCUUCUCUUCAGCCUUUUUGUAUAUUAUCUUGAUACUAUCAAUUCAGGUUCAUCAUCGUGAAUAUGCCCUGUAUUCUUGAUUAGAUUCUGGAAAGCCUGUUUGUAUGCUUGACCACUGCUUACUUAGUUACCCAACAUAUAGUUAUAGGGAUCUCUUGGCAUUGGCUUUCAAUGGCUUUUGCUUAGUGUUGUGCUAUUUCCUAAGAACAAUGUAUGUUUGGAUGAGGGGCCACUAUAAUUGAAAAAGUAGCCGUCCUGGAUUCUUGAUUCUAACCCUUAUUGGGAUUGGACUGGCCAAAAUCAGUUCUGCAAAAAAUUGAAACAAAGUGAGAGAACUGAUUUGGAAAACAUUUGUAGGCAAACAAAGAACAAUCUGGCACAUAUGUUUUGUUUUCGUUGUGUCCUGAGAUGACAAGAUUAGGUUCAGAAGUCUCAUUUGUUAGUUGAAGAGUAUUUAUUCUGAUGAGAUGUUGAUAAAAACUGUGCUCUUUAUCUUCUUGUAUGUUAAGUUAAUCUAUAAAUUUCAAAUUCUGUUGACAAAGAUAUCCUCUAGGUUUGGAUUGUUCUAAUUUCUUUGUUUAAAACAAUACAAAGUGCUGUUCUUUAAUGAAAAAGGUGAACUUAUUGCACUUUUCUGUACUUUUCUUAUGAAAUCAAAAUAUGCAGACUUCUCAAUUGAGUCUUUCCAAUUACAAAUGAGAUAGCUUUCCUACAGAGCAUUUAUCUCUUAUAUGCUGCUCUGUUAAACAUUUUAGGGGGAUCCAUUGUGGGAAGCUCUACCAUUCCUUGGCCUGAUCAGGUGGGAGAGUAGUUCACAGAACUAAAAAGCUGCUUGUUUAGUCCAAAAUGAGAUUAUCAGUAUGCUUAUCUGGAUAGAGUAGGUAGCAUAAUCAUUAAAAAUGAUGAUGGGAAUCUAGCAAACUAAUUUUCUUUGGUAGAAGUAAAAAACAAUCAGUUGUUGUGGUUUGUAAAAAUUUAAGAAGAAAAGGAAACAGUAAGCAAACGAAGACUGAAACAAAGUAGGCAAACGAGAAUAAGUACAGUGGCGUUAUCUGCCUUUUCAUUUGGUGUUCUUUUAGUGUUUACAAAUAUGCUCAUUUUAUCAUGCAUUCAAUGAUUUUGGUUUGUGCAGUCUUAUUGUUAAGAAAGAAAAUUUUCCCAGAAUAAGUUUGAGGUCUCCUGCUAGUUGUACAGCAGAAAGGCAUAAGGUUUUAGCGAUGUGAUUAUACCAAAUACCUAAAGCCCUGAAAGAUUAGCUUUCAAACAUUUGCUUAACGAAGUAAUUAUUAGCAAGGAAUUGAUUUUUUUGUAAUAGUUUAGCAAAUAACUUUUUUCAAAAGUCUUGCUAUGUGAAAUGACUUUUGGUUAUGUUGUUGUGUGAGGAACUUAAAUUUGCACCAUCUUCUUUUUUGACUUUGCUUGUGUUCGAGUCGACUACAAUUUGGACUAUAUCAAAACUCUUAACUCUUGCGAUUAAAUGAAUUAUAUCCUCUUCUACAAAGGUUUCUAAUCUUUUGGUUCUGCUAUGGGAAUUGACAUAGAGGUUCUGAAAACUCACAUUGAUAAAUGAUUAUAUUUUUGUUCUCUACUUUCUAGGCCCUUUAUCUCAAUCAAAAUCAAAAGAUAGAAUGAAAUUUGAAUCUGUCUUCAAAGUUUCGAGAAAGACAUUCAGUUACAUCUGUUCACUUGUAAAGGAAGAUAUGAUGACUAGCAGCUCAAACUUCAGUUAUUCAAAUGGAAAGCAGUUGUCUCUAAAUGACCAAGUUGCUGUUGCUCUUAGGAGGCUUAGCUCUGGUGAGUCCUUAGUGAGCAUCGGUGACUCAUUUGGGAUAAACCGAUCAACCGUUUCUCACAUUACCUGGAGGUUUGUGGAAGCAAUGGAAGAAAGAGGGCUGCACCAUCUUUGUUGGCCUACAAAGCAUGGUGAAAUGGAGGAGAUAAAGUCCAAGUUUGAGAAAAUCCGCGGCCUUCCAAAUUGUUGUGGUGCAAUUGACAUCACACACAUCCUGAUGACCCACCCUACACCGGGCUCACCAGAUGAUGUCUGGCUCGAUUGCGAAGAAAAAUGCAGCAUGAUCUUACAGGCAAUCGUUGACCCGGAUAUGAGGUUCCGUAACAUUAUUACAGGAUGGCCAGGAAGUUUGAGUGAUGAGCUAGUCCUUCGGAGUUCAGGUUUUUUCAAGCUGUGUGAAGAAAGAAGUUGUUUAAACGGGAAGAAGUUGGUGCUUUCAGAAGGAACAGAAGUAAGAGAAUACAUAGUUGGAGAUUCUGGUUUUCCUCUCUUGCAAUGGCUUUUCACUCCUUACAAGGGGAGAGAGCUCUCAAACUAUCAGUGCGAGUUUAACAAGCGGCUCUCUGCGACGCAGAUGGUGGCGCGCAGGGCGUUGGUGAGGCUGAAGGAGAUGUGGAAGAUAAUUCAAGGGGUAAUGUGGACGCCUGAUAAGAACAAGUUGCCAAGGAUUAUUCUGGUUUGCUGUAUUCUGCACAAUAUAGUUAUUGAUUUGGAGGAUGAGGCGCAAGAUGAAAUGCCCUUGUCUCAUCAUCAUGAUUCUGGUUACCGGCAACAAACUUGCGAAUCUGCUGACAAUACUGCCUCUCUCCUGAGAGAGAAGCUUGCUAUUUACUUGUCUGGAGAGAAGAACCUUGCUUCAGUCUUACCUGGUUGAAAUCGGAAAUCUUAUAAUAUUUUGGGGAACUUGCUUUUGUAGAAACUUUAGUUCUAAAUAUAAUUUUGGCGGAAUGAAUCUCUCGCUCAAAUUGUGUUUCUUUUUCACAUGGGUUUUUUUAAAACAUAAUUGAAGGGUUUGCUUUGUUUCUUUUGUCAUGCAAAAAACGAUCGAUGUUAUUGGCAACAGAAAAAAUAUAUAUUUAUAUAUGCAAGCUGGGCAAGAAAUCCACACCAGAAUGAGGUAACCAAUAAUCCACGAAUUACAAAUCACAUUCUCAAAGGCAAUGCAAUACAAUAGUAAACCAAACUCAAGUCCAUAGACUAUAAACAGGUCACAUAAAAACCACAUAGUAUAGAGAUGACCCCCUCCAGUUGCUGAGCUGAUGCUUAACAUUCAAGUCGCCCGGCUUCUAAUAACAUCAAGGCCCAUUUCGGUUGGAUCGGUAGCUUGCAACUCUACCUGAAUACCGUCCAACUCUCUCUUAAACCUGUCCUUCGAACUAGCAUAGAUCAUUUUGCUUCUCACCUUCGAUGUGUCAGGGGACCUUCAUACAUAGAUCUUAGAAUGAGUGCCCCGAUCAAAAGGAAGAUAAAAGAAUAAUUACAAUCAGAGUCAAACUCUAAAAGUCUAAUUAUUACCAAGCAAUGAAAAUAAUCCGGCUCUUCUGGCAGUUCUCCUCAGUCACAUAAUCAAAGUCAUAGACAGCGUAUCGGCAUUCAUCAGCAGGGAGGCUUGCAGAGAAAUCCUCGUAGCUAUCAGCUGGUUCACCCACCUUUUCCACUAUAACCUGCUUUUGCUUCUCCUCUAUCUUGUACACUAUGAAGCGGUAAGUUCGUUUUGCCUUCAAUUCUAAAAACUUUAGCUUGCAUUCAUCAUGCACAGCCAUCCCAGACGCUGCGUUUGCCUGGAGAAAUUUAAUCGAUACCGAAUUGCAUCAAACACCAACAAAGCAUCACUAGAAAUUCCUAUAAUUACACCCAAAAGCUUCUCCAAGCAUAACUGUUACAUAUGCACCCGAAAGUUUGACACCAAUCAAAAUCCCAAACAUCCUAAAACAGAACACACACUGCUUUUCUUCCCCUCGGCUUAUAAACUCUCACUUCAUAGUUCAAACUACAAAUGCUCAUGAGUGUCGUCAAGCAUAUCAUAAUUCAAAACUAUUAACAAAAGUAAAAUGAAUGAUGAAGCACAGGCAUACUGAUAUACUUACCCUUUAAAAAAUUAAGCACCACUACUACCAAGCAAAAGAAAAAGCAAAAAAGAAAUCCAUAUGAAGGAAAAUCCUGAAUAUAGCCAGGAAAUAAAAUCUUAGGCUGAGUAUUUUUAGCCAUUGCAGUAAUCAUACCAUAUGUGAAUCAAUCAAAAUCAAAAUGCACACUGGCACUGCAAUUAAGCAUGAAGACAAUAACGAGAGGCUCAAAAAUUGUAGAAAAUUCAUGAAUCAAUCAUGAUCAAGUAAUUCGAAUCAUACGAUUGAAUAUCACGACUGAAUUGAAAACUAACACGCUAUCUGACGAAACUUAUACUCCACCACAGACGAAUUUCACGAAUUUUUCCCAAUCAAGCAGUCAAAAUUACUAAGAUCGAACACCAAAAUCGCAGAGAUUAUACUAAAGAGAAUCGUUAAGCAAACAAAAAUUUAAAAUAAUAACACUAGCAUGCAAAACCCUAUAGAGAGAAGACUGAAGUAGAGGAAGUACUCACCAUUUUCCCGAGAAAAUGUCGAGGUAGAGAGAAAUGGCGAGAAAAUCUAGGGCUCAGAGAGAGAGAGAGAGAGAGAGAGAGAGAGAUGGAUAGGCCUAACGGUGGGGAGAGGGCAGCGAGUCGCGCCUUGAAAAUAUGGAAGGCCUUCGCGGUCGGUAGCUCCUGCUAAUAUCACCGUGGUCGGUGAUCCAACCAUACGAGGACACGUGUUGUACGUUGUUGAAUAGCGUGCAAUGCGAGGGAUGGCAUGUCCCUUUACGUCUAAUGUGGGUUACUUGGGGGCUGCUACGACUUCGUUUGCCUUCAUGGAUUUGGCCCAAAAUAGUUCCUGGUCCAACAUUCCAUGCAUGUUUUUUUAUUUUUUUUAUUUUAUACAAACGAUAUUGAGAAAUCGGGAAUUAAACUUAAACACAUGACUUUGAUGAAACUAUAUUUAAGCUAAAAGGAGAGUACCUGCAUAAUUUUUUUUUACUUAUUUGGUUAAAUUGUGUUUAUAUUACAAAGGAAAAAGGGUCUCAUUUUAAUUUAUGACCUUGAAUCACUCAAAAAUGUCACGACUGACUUACUUUUUGUUAAAGAACUACUUGUACAUCUUUUCAUCUCGUGUUUGAUCAAAAUAGCCAAUCUUUUUGUUAAAGAAUCACUUGUACAUCUUUUCAUCUUAACAUUCGAGCUUUGUUCUUACUCUCUUUGAUAUCGAAUAAAAGGAGUAUGAAAUGAUGUAAUAUUAGGACUUGCCCAUAAAACCGAAGCUACUCAACACAUCACCUUUUGUUAUAAUUAAGUAACAAAGUGGGGCAAAGGGACCUCUCUUUGGUUCAAGAUUAAUAUUCUCUCAAUUCCCUCUUCAAAUCAACUCUAAGAAGGAAGGGAUUAAAAUUCUAUAGUUCAAAAUAGUUGGGCUGGUGUUUAUAGAUCAGUACAAGUUAUUAGCUAUGACAAUUUUUCUUGAUGUAGCAGCAUGAUCAACACCCUCUUCCAUGGUCACUUUCUGAGUAACAGAUACAGGAACCAAACAAAGGCCUUUGCUUCUGAGGUCGAGCACCUGCCGGCUCCCACAUUCCUGUUCACAAUUCCCAAUAUAAUUUGUAAGGAAAAAAAUUCAGGGUUAGAGGGUAGAAAAACUUGUGUGAAAUGGUAUGACGAGUGAAAAAGUUAUCAUGCGUAGAAUAACGUGAUUAGCCGGGAUAGCAAAACAGUGCUAUCCCCGUUCCACGCACAAAUUUAAGUGAUUGCCUACCUGUGUGUGAAGAACUGCAGCAUUCUUGUAUGAACUACUAAACAUCCUUAGCAGAUUCUGCUAAAAAAAAAAUUAAAAACAAAAACAAAACCCAAGAAACAAAUUAGCACUAAAAUUUAUAUGCAGCAUAAAGAAGUGAAGAUAUUGUUAGGUCUAUAUAAACCUGAAUUUGUUCUUGAAGUAGCAUGAUAUAAAUGGAAGCCUCUUGAAGAACUGAGGCAGUGUCAGUCUGCAAUGAGUUCAGAAGCCUAAUGUAAUUAAUUUGCAGAAAAACAAUAUUUUUUCUAUAAUUAGAAAUCUAGAUAUAAUUUUUUUUUGUAUAUUCUGCAAACUGCUAACCUUGCCAUAGGGGGAAACCAGUUUCUGAAGAACCGUGAUCUUGUCACUGAGCUUUUGGCUUCUUCUCACAGGCGCAUGCAACUUCUGGCAAAAGCAGCAAAAGCUCAACAACAAGGCCAUAAUAACUUAAAUGAAGAGAUAAAUUAAUGUUAAAUUAAUUUUGUUUAACAGACCUUAUUGUUUUGUUGUUGCAUUGAGGUUUCUUGGAACUGUUGAUGCCAUUGUUGUUGAGAAUUUGUCACCUUGCUUCUCUUAUUUUGGUUCCAUUCGUUUAGAGCUGUCUUGUCACCAACCAGACCACCAAGGUCAUCAACCUCAAUUGGACGUUUCCUUGCAUUUUGUAUGGCCUGGAAAUCCUUCAAGGGAACAAAAAGAAAAAAACCAGAAUAAAAUUAGUUCUAGGAUUUGUUAUCACCUCAGUUGUAUUAUUGUAUAAAUGUGUGGUCCAAAUUGAUAAUCGAACAAUAGAAGAUGAAUGAUUGUCUUGUUACCGAAUUUACUUUUCGUAUUUUAACUUAAACAUACAUAAGUAUACAGUUGUCAACUGUUGAUUUGUGUGAAACCUAUCGUGACACCCAUAUCAACAACUAACAAUCAUGUGAAGUAAAUCGCUUGAUAUUUGAAGUGAAUUGGGAAGUCUUGCUAGUUUUUUAUUAAAAUCUUAGCUACCAACUAAAGAAGAUCAACAUACUGCUUCAAAUUGGGGAGCUGAAAUCUUCUUGUCCAGCAAGACUGGCUGCUGGGAAACACCAUCAUGGUAUCUGAAUGCACCAGAUGGAUAAGCUGCAAUCAAAGAAGGUAAUUCAUUAAACCCAGAGUUCUUGCGAGUCAAUUAUUAGAGUUUACUAAAUUACAAAAUGUUUGAUGAGGGUAGGUGGCAAGGACAAGAAAAACUGGGGAAAAAAAAUUUAAAAUUAGGCCAAAUUAGAAAAGUUGUUCCUCAAAACAGAAACAUAUGGAUAGGGAAAUAAACCAAACCUGGUUGAUAAGCAAGGAGGGAUGAUGACUGCAGAGGAAGAGGAAGAGGAAGAGAAAAGUCGUCUCCAGCUCUGCUAUUUUGGUUGUCACUUUCGAAUGCCUUGGACCCCAUGUAAAACCCACUGCCAUAUUUGCCAUGACCAAUUAACUUCAGUUUCUUUUUUUUCUUGAAAGAAAGAAAGAAAGCAGAAGAGAAGGUUGCAUUAUUGUAAGUGGGGUUGGGGGCCUAAUUAACUUAUUUUGUAGAGGCAGCAUUUGGAUAAACUGUGAUUGUACAAUUACUUUAAAUGAUCCCAAUAAUGGUUUUGAUAUACUUUGUUGUGAAGUAUUGAAGAGAAGAUAAAUCAGUAAAUCAAAGCUAAGCUUACCAAGAGAGGUGAAUUCUAAAACAUUUUCUACUGCUGGAGGGACGAUUAUCAGUCCCGAGAUUUUUUUAUUUUUAAUUUUUUAAAGACAUUUUCUAUUAAGAAAUGCGAUAACAUAUUAAAUCACUACACUAGUAUGGAAUAUUGAUGCAUACAAUUACUUUUUCAAACUUAUUUGUACAUUUGAAAGAUAUAGAAACUAUGGAAAAAUAAUCCCUGAUCAUUUUAAAGACUGGUAUAAUUUUUAAAGACUGGUUCAUAUGAUUUCCAUUAAAAAAAAAAUUGGGAUACAAUUUUGAAAGGGAAAAAGACUACUUACAGUCUUCUGUUCAUGUUGACUUGAGCAUCCCAAUUUGACAUCUGAACUUCAAUAUUGUUUCCUGAAGACACAAAACAAUCACUGGAUGGUUACGUAGAACCAUCUUCAUCAUAUACAAGUUUCUGCAGAGCCCAAAUGCCCUUGUGGUCAAAUUAAACAAUAUCAAUCUAUGCUAAUUAAGAUUUGUAAAUUGUAAUGAUCAUUACCAAAGUUGUAAAGAUGGAAGGGUACAGAUGGAAGAAGAGCGUUUCUCAUUGAGCCCAACAAAUCCACUUCUGCAGAGACAGAUAGCCCUUCUGUUGAUGUUUGCACACACAGAUCAGAAAAGCCUUAUCUUGCCAAAGUGAUCCUAUCAACUUCUAAACACAGAAAAUGAAAACACAUAAAAUAAAAUAAAAAACCGAAGUUGUCAAAAAUGUUGUCUAAUUGGAAGCACAAUGCAUGCACACAGAAAAUGUGGCCUUGGAGUUUCGUUAAAAUUCUUAAUCAAACUAAAAAUCCAGCACCAAGCACGAUCGAAAGAACGAAAAUAAAAUCCCAGUAUACCAAGAAAAAGUUACCCAAGGAAGCAUUGAUUCAAAGAAACUAAUUAGCCCCAAAAAAACCAAAAACUUUAAAUAUCAAACUGGAUUAAGAAAUACACAAGUCAGAACUGAAAUGGCAAGAUUUGGAGCCCAAGAUUACUCUGAAAACAUGAUUCAGAACCGACUGAAUUCUCACCUCUGAUCUCAAAAAACUCUAAACUAGGAAGGGUUUGCCAGUGAAAGAGCCAAGACCAAUGAGAUGAGAAUUUGUCCAAAGGUGGAGGUAUAUAUUCUGCAGUGGAGGUGUGAGCUUCGGGCUCCUUUUGAGUGUAGCAACGGUUCUUAUCCUUAAAGAGAAAACGUUGGGAAGACAAGGUUAUAUGUAAUUGGUAAGAAACUGCAUGAUCAUGAAAGGAAUAUGAAACGUCCAGAUGACUCAGAACCUUAAAUUAUAUAAUGCCAUGGGGCGGCUCUCUCACUCUCUCUCUCUCUCUCUCUCUCUCUCCCCCUAGCUACCAAGUUAUCUGUUUGCUUUCGCUAUCACUUAACUUGACUUGCUUUCUAUUAAUAAUAUGCCUCGAAAAUGACUGGUUUUUUUUUUCCAGCAAUUGAUUUGUAUAAAUUUAAUCACGCUGCCAUAGUCAAAGCUUAAUCGUAUAUGUACAAACAAGAUGAUGGAAAGUUAGAUAAAUGAGUACAUGUUGACUCGGUUUCUGUUCUGUUCCAAACUCUGCAUCAUACACAGUUUUAAGUUGAUCCUUUUUUUUUAAAGCUAUAAACUACCAAAGAUUCGAUUAGUUCCGUGUGAUUACACCACCGUACGUAAUGUUACUAAUUCACUUCAUAAUAUUAUGCAACAACAGACUGUCACACCUAAGAGGGAACUGCAAAAUGAGGGAUAUACAGUGAGAAGCUAACAAUUUUGGGUCACUUACUGAAAUGAAAUAUGGGGUUUAAAUUUUGGUCAUUGCUCUGUUUUUGGCAUUUGUGAGAAAUCAAUCCAGAUCAUAUAUGUUUGUUUCCGGAGUCUGUCACGUGAACGAGUCUCAGAAGCCAGUUCUAAUUUGGAUAUAACAGCUAGAGAAAACUGGCUAGUUAUACAACUUUGGAAGUCUCAGCUGGUAAGCGAAGGAGGUCAGAUUUGCUACUUUAGUACUUGGUCUAAUUUAUCUGCUUUAGCUGGUACUUUUGAAAAUGAAAUGUUAUAAGUGUGUACAAACAAAAUACCAUAAAGCCAUCUUAAUUAGUAGAUCAUGAAUAAGCCAAGGCUGAUCAAUAUGAAAAGAGAGAACGUUAAUGUAAAAGGUAUACACCUGUGACAUGUAAGUUUCUCUCGAACGUUAACGUCAAAGGUAUACACCUGUGACAUGUAAGUUUCUCUCGAACGUUAACGUAAAAGGUAUACACUGCAUAACAUAUAUAAAUUUCUCUCAUUGCCCAUAGUAAGAUAAAAAGAACUCAUAAAAACCAAGAAUUAUAUGCAAGUCAAGAAUACAGAUAAACAAACCUCUCCUAAUGUACUUUGUCUUCCAGUGCCUAGGCUCAUCGAAGCUUAAGUUUGACCUCUUCCUACUAUGGGGUUGACCAAUGUUCAUACCCCAUACAAAUGUACCUGUAGAACUGCAAAUUAACAGCAUCAUCAUCUUAUAUAUAUAUAUAUAUAUAUUACUUUUAAUUAAUUUCCUUUGCAACUGCAAGUAGUUCUUGUUUGGUUGGUGAUUCUCGGACCGUCCUUGAUGUUAAUUCUUAAUUAAUCCUAUAUUAAUUAUCAAUAAUUUAGUUCAUAUAAGAUAAUAAAGUAAAUAUUAGCACGACUAAAUAAAGUCCUAUAACUGUUGUUAUCUUGAAAUCUCUACAUGUUAUGUUUUUUUCUGUUUUUAUUCUCCGGAAAAUUAAAUAAUUAUAAAUAAAUAAAAACUAAGUCAGCCUCCUGUCUUUGGUGUGCAAAAUAUUAACAAUCCUCAAAGCGACUACGUGAUGACAUGUGGACAAUUGUUCAGCGUCCAAUGUGAUAAUCAAGUUGGAGUAAUUUGCAUGGUUUGAGUCUGUGACUGCAGAAAACAAACCUUAUUCUUAUGUUGUUAUUUGAGGGAGAGUUUAAAAAUAAAAAAUAAAAACAUUAUGGUUGACCAGGUGGAAAUUCGGGAGGUCAAAGUAGGAGAUUGUCAUUUAGGUCUUGUUUUCAACCUUGAAAAAAUGAGUUGAAAUUCAUUUACAUGAAUGAGUCUUCUUCCCCAUGCAAAUAUAUUAUUAUGAGAUUUUGCAUGGUCUACGGUUUGGGUGUAUAUUUUAAUGAGCUUUGUGAAUCUAUACGGUCUGUAUUUUUAUGAAGUCAAUCCUCUCUCUCUCUCUCUCUCUCUCUCUCUCUCUCAAAUCGAAAUCCAAUUUAUUAUAAGUUAGCCAUAUGAAUGAAUCGUCAUGUUUACGAUAACCAUUUGCAGGCCUUUAUAUAAAAGGAAAUGCUACUUCGCAUGCACAUAUAAUUAGUGUUCUAGAAACAAUUAAUAAUUCUAUGUUAUUUUGAAGUGAAUAAUAACCACAACUUAAUUUGGUUUUGUUGCCGAAGUUUGGAAGGGAGAGUAGGAAAAACUCACACACAGGUAUCAUGAGAGGUUUAAAAAAUAGAGAAUUGUGAAUGAUACAUAAAAAAGUUAUUAUGGACUUGUUAAAAUGCAACUUUUCUCUAACAUUUUCAUACGAGAGGAAUGCAUGAUGACUUUUUAAUGUUAAUAAUUUGUUGAAACAUAUUAUAAAAAGUAAAGUUUUAUAUUUAUUGUGACAUAAUAAAAUGGGACUAUAAACUCAUAACUAUAUCACUUAAUUUAUUCCUCAAUCUCAGACAAAUCAUAGUAGUAAUCUAUUCACCAAUUUCAAUCUCCUUUAAUAACCAAAUACAAAUACAAGUACCCAAUUUGGGCUGCAUAAUUCCCGCCCGAGCUUUAAUGGGGCCGUUGCAUGAAGACAAUGGGCCUGACAGCGAAUUCGAUCCUAAGGAAACGACGACGUGUUGAACCAAAUAAGGGUCCGUAAGGGCAAUUCAGUAAAAGGCGCCCUCAUUCCCACCAAAUAUAUGUGCUCGGUUUCACUAACUCGUUCCUUCUUAAGCCCUAGAAACCCUAGCUCUCGGAGGCGCCUCUGCUGAUAUUGCGCAUCUUUUCUGGUACGUGAAGACUUCACUCUAAAACUUCAUUCUCUUCAUCAAUAAGUGAAACUGUUUCGAUCUGUGUUCCUUUUGAGGCUCUUAUUUGUUCAUGUAUGACCCUUUUCAUUUAUUUUGGAUGAUUUUUUGAGGUGUAGAGUUGAUCCUAACACAUCUAGAUCUAUUGGAUAUUGCUUUGAUCAAUUUGGUUUCAAAUAUGUUUUGAUUAGGCGCCUGUGUAGUUGUGAUUUAUGAUUUGAUGUGUUUCUCUGGAUUGAAAUGCUGAAACUUUUUUUCUGCUCAAGGCCAAUUGUUUGUUUUGUGUUUUAUUUUUGUAGGAAUAGAUGUUCUGGAAUUGGGUUUAACAAAUUAUGAGUCUUAAACAAACCACAAUAGUUGUUUAUUGAAUCUUGAUUAAUAUGUUUGACCCAGCUAGAAAUGGGAAAAGGGAUCAAACUACCAAUAUGGUGGUUGAUUGCGUUUAUUAUAUAAUUAGUUAGACUGUAAGAUUUGACAAGUGAAUCUGUGUAAUUCUGGUCCCAUUGAGUAGGAACACAUUGAAAUGAGGUUUCUAGUUACAUGUUUCUGUUUGUCUCAUUUGUUUUACUUGAUUUUUUUGGGUGCAAAACCCGAUGAUCUUAAUGAAUUCUUUUUAUAACAUGCAGAAGCGACAAUGGUGAGAGUUAGCGUUCUGAACGAUGCGCUCAAGAGCAUGUACAAUGCAGAGAAAAGGGGCAAGCGCCAGGUCAUGAUCAGACCAUCAUCCAAGGUCAUCAUCAAGUUUCUUUUGGUGAUGCAAAAGCAUGGUAUGUAUCUUUUAUUUAAUUCUUAUAUUCGCCACUUAAAUAAUUUCCCAGUUGUUUCUUAGUUGAAAAUUUUCUGAUUAUAUAGACAUUUAUGCUUUUGUUUCUCUCUAUAGGAUACAUUGGUGAGUUCGAGUAUGUUGAUGACCACAGGGCUGGUAAAAUUGUGGUCGAACUGAAUGGACGGCUUAACAAAUGUGGGGUUAUCAGCCCUCGUUUUGAUGUGGGUGUUAAGGAGAUUGAAGGCUGGACUGCAAGAUUGCUUCCAUCUAGACAGGUUAGCCAGUUGUUAUCAGUUAACUAUUUCAAGCCUAGAAACGUGUAUAUUUCUUGAUGGGUUCCUGUUGAGUAAUAACAUUGUAGUUUGGAUUCGUUUAACAUGUAUAUUUUUUCAAUUAAUUUUUAGAAUGUAGAAAGAUGUGCAGGAUUAGGUCAUUAUAUUUGGUUGAUCAUGUUAGUGGUGGUGAUUCAUAUAGCUCUGUAGUUGGUUCCCAUUUGAAUCAAACGUUGAGAUAUCCUGUAAUAUGGUUAAUGUGUUAUAGUAAUCUAGAACCCUUAUAUCGAUUUCUAGUCUGGUUUGGAUGUCUCAUUUGAUUCCCUUAUUAUAUCGAUUUCUAGUCUGGUUUGGAUGUCUCAUUUGAUUCCCUUAUUGCGUUUCAUGGUGUGCAACUGUGUCAUUGUGCACAUAGCUUAUUCUGCUGGGCUUAUGGUUUUUUGCUUGAACUUGCAGUUUGGAUACAUAGUGCUGACAACAUCUGCUGGCAUUAUGGAUCAUGAGGAGGCUAGGAGAAAGAAUGUUGGUGGUAAAGUGCUUGGUUUCUUUUACUAGGCAAGGUUUUUUCCAGGAAUGAGAAUUGAGUUUUCCCGCUAAUGAAGAGCUUUUGGGUGUACUUUUGAACAUCAUAGGUUACUUCUAUGUUUCAAUUUGUGUUUGUUUUGAAUGCUAAUAGAGGUUUUUACUGGAAUGUUAUUUGCUAGAAUUUAUCUUUAAGUGUUUGGUUAUCCAUAGUGCAUCUGGUGGUUGUGGCCUCAGUCUUAAAUUAUCUUAUGAAAUCCAACAUUUUUGCAUCCCGCAGAAUAAUUUUGAAUGGCUAGGUUUUUAUCGCAAUAAUGAAUGAAUAGAAGUUGUUGUGUUGCAGGCGGUGCUUUGUUUUCUGCAUGUCAUGUAGAGACGUUACUUUUCCGGGUUUUAAUGGUAUUUGCUUAUGCAUAUGGUUUUCAAAAAGGAAAUUAGCAUCUCCUUACCGAUCAGUUAUCUGCUAUUUAAAUGCGGUGCAGUAUGACUACAAUUUCUGUUUCCCUUGCUGUCUACUACAUACAUUUCUUGGGUGGGCUUGAGAAUUAUAAGAGCCGACGAAUUUUAUUUUUUUGGCUUCAAAGUCAGAGAAUAAAAAAGAUUUUAUUCAUGUUGUAAUGAUUCGUUCUCGAGGUUGUUGUCAACCUUUCCACAAAGUUUCGUCAUGGUCAAGUUUGGGUAAUCAAAAUUGCUUGUGCAGACUGUAAAACCAUCCAAUUACUGAUACGUCUUCAGUUUAAAUGACAUGGGAAAUGAUUUCUCAUCCAAUCCUGUCCAUAAAUCAAACAAGACCUAAGAUUAGGCGGGCAAUAAUCAGGGACGUUCAAAUUCCAAUCCAUUGUGUUCAAGCAACUAAUUCGUCUGCUAUUUUUGUUUCAAUGAUUCAACAGCGAGUAAUUCGAUCUGUUAUUUAAUGUUUUUUUGGUCUAACAUGGGAUUCUCAGCUUAAAUGGUUAAGAGCUUACAAGGGACUUGGGGGAGCUUAAGCUUAUGCAUGCGACAUGGUUUUGUUUAUUUUUUUUCUUCAUCUUCUUCAAGGUUGGUUUAAGGUUGGCAAUUAGCUUUUUUAGAAAGGAGGGGAAGGGGACAAGAGUGAUAACCAUCAAAUCAUACAACUACUUUUUUUCGUGCUUCAUGUCCUCUUAACAUCAUUAUUUGCAUCGCUUUCAACCUCUACUCAAUUAAUGGUCCGCAUGGAUCUUAGACAUCCCACAAUUAAAGAUUCAUGCUGUGGUUAAUAUAAACACAAAAAAACACACUAUAUAUAAAAAUUAUUACAAAAUUACAUACAAACCCAAGAGAGAGAGAGAGAGAGAAAAAAAAAAAAAAGGAAAGAAGAGAGAGAGAGGAGUUAUGUAACGUUUGAGAAUACAAGAGAGAGAGACUACAUGAACCAGCCGAAGAUCUUUAUUAGGAGGAGAGAAUGCUAAUGAAAUAGCAUUAAGGGAAAGAGAAACACAAAGAGAAACACACACUUGUUGAAAAACUGCCAAAGAUCUGUAGUUGCCCUACCAUCAAAUCAAAGCCAACAUGACUUGUUCAAGUUUCAAUUAGCUAAGCUUUCUUUGUCGUCUGCACUGCAUCAUCAUCGUCGCCUUUGUUGGUAGUAGUAGUAGUAGCAACAAAACCACCAACUUCACCACCGACGGUAUCACCGCCGCUCCCGACUUCCAUCGGUGGCCGGACGACGAAGAAGUAGCAGAGAUGAAUGAGAUGAUGCAGAAGCAACAAGACGAGAGAAUGUGUUGUUGAUAGAUGUUGGAAGAGGUUACAAAGAAAGAGCAAUGUGUUGUGACGUUUUGUAGGUGCAGGGAAGGUGGGUGGAGGAUCUUCUCAGCAUAUGCUCUAAGCAUAACUUCCUUUUGUGUUCCUUUCUAUAGUACCUUUUUCCUCACUGUUCAUUGUUUUCAAUUACUCUUUAUUAUUUUUUAUUUUGGCUACAGUGUUCCUAACUCUUGAUCCAAC